UACAGAGGGUGCAAGCGUUGUUCGGAAUUAUUGGGCGUAAAGCGCGUGUAGGCGGCUUUGCAAGUCGGGUGUGAAAGCCCUCAGCUUAACUGAGGAAGUGCGCCCGAAACUGCAGAGCUUGAGUACCGGAGAGGAUGGCGGAAUUCCCCAAGUAGAGGUGAAAUUCGUAGAUAUGGGGAGGAACACCGGUGGCGAAGGCGGCCAUCUGGACGGAGUACUGACGCUGAGACGCGAAAGCGUGGGUAGCAAACAGG
rnacentral:rRNA from 1 species